UGGGGAAUAUUGCACAAUGGGCGCAAGCCUGAUGCAGCCAUGCCGCGUGUGUGAAGAAGGCCUUCGGGUUGUAAAGCACUUUCAGCGGGGAGGAAGGCGUUAAGGUUAAUAACCUUGGCGAUUGACGUUACCCGCAGAAGAAGCACCGGCUAACUCCGUGCCAGCAGCCGCGGUAAUACGGAGGGUGCAAGCGUUAAUCGGAAUUACUGGGCGUAAAGCGCACGCAGGCGGUUUGUCAAGUCGGAUGUGAAAUCCCCGGGCUCAACCUGGGACUUGCCUUCGAAACUGGCAGGCUAGAGUCUUGUAGAGGGGGGUAGAAUUCCAGGUGUAGCGGUGAAAUGCGUAGAGAUCUGGAUGAAUACCGGUAGCGAAGGCGGCCCCCUGGACAAAGACUGACGCUCAGGUGCGAAAGCGUGGGGAGCAAACAGG
rnacentral:rRNA from 1 species